GACACCAGGUUACAGUCCAACAGCUGCUCCUUCGUCAGGUCACCUGUAUAUAUUUCCUUCCUGCAUGAGGAUGGGAAUGACAGUGGCAGGCCUUCAUGCAACUCUGGAGGCAGCUGGUCAUUUCAAUCAUCAACUGAUUCAAAUGAAGUUGGGUUUUCUUUGCUUUGAAAAGUGAAACUUCAAAUAUGCAGACUCGCUCUGUAGUUGGAGGAAAGGACUUUCUGAAGAAGGGUCCAGACCCGAAAUGUCAGCUUUCCUGCUCCUCUGAUGCUGCCUGGCCUGCUGUGUUCAUCCAGCUCCACAUCUUGUUAUCUCAGACUCUAGCAUCGGCAAUUCCUACCAUCUUUAACUUGUGCUGUUUUCCCCUUUUAGGGUUUUCAUGGCUUUUUAAAAAUAUAGAUGAUGUGUGCAGUUUCUGCUAUUUUCUUGAGAUACUUGUGCUGUUUUAAGUGGAAUAAAGUGGUGUUGUGCUACUAUCAUGGCUUUGCAAAUAUUUUUGGUUGCAGUAUUAAAAUAUUCUUUUUCAUUAAAAU